GAAAAUUUUUAAUCACUGCAAAAACAAAAACCCCUCUAUAACCUUUAGCUAUUGCUUUUCUUUGAAUGUGGUGUCCCUCAAAAAGUUAUUAAUAUGUUGAAACUUAAUACUCAUUAAGGUGGUAAUAAGAGGAGGGCCUUUUGGGAAGUGAUUAACUCAUGAGGACUCCGCCCUUAUGAAUAGAUUAAUACCUGUAUAAAAGAGGCUUCAGAGAGAGUUUGCCCCUCUUGCCUUCCACCUGCCGCUAUAUGAGGACACAGCAGCAAGGUGCCAUCUUGGAAGCAGAAAACAGCCCUCGCCAGACACCAACAUUGGUGGCUUCAGAAGUGAAUAGCCACACUGUUUUCCAAAGUGACUGCAGCGUUUCAUAUUUCUACUAGCAACAUCAUCAUCUUCCUUUUACAGAAGAAGAAACUCAUAUCGCGGAAAAGUGAGGAUGAAAUCCUCUGACCACCCUACCUUUAAAGGUCCUUUAAAGGGAAAGAACUGACAGUGUAAGUGGAAAGAGAGCAAUUGGAAGUAGCAGGAGAGGGAAAAGCCAUUAUCAUACAACUGGUGGGAAGAAGGAAUGUCAAAAACAUCAGUGUGAAAAUAAUUGCAGCAAAAAGCCAGAAAGGCGAAGGAAAAACUGAGAACCACCCUGCAUGACCAUACAUCUCACGUUUAAAUAGCAAUUUAAACAGUUAUUUUUGAAAACAAGAUGACAUGAGGUGUGAUUAUCACGUAAGUAAUGAAACUGACUUAUCCCAAAAACAUACAGACAGCAUGGAUUUUCAUAAGGAAAGUGGUCCUUUUCAGAGGCUGAGAAACUCUGGUCAGAGAAGUUCCUCCAAAUAGCAUCUAUGAUAAGUGCUGUCACUCCUGGAUCUGCGUAUUAAUUGUAGCAAAUUUGGGAUGGUGUCUUAGCUCGGGCUGCUGUAGCCAAAUGCCACAGACUGGGUGACUUAAACGACACUUAAUUUUUCACAGUUCUGGAGGCUGGAAGUCCAUGAUGAGGGUGCUGGAAGUCCAUGAUCUGGGAGCCAGCAUGAUCAGGUUCUGGCGAGGGCUCCCUUCUUGGUUUGUAGAUGGCUGCCAUUGUGCUGUGUACUCACAUGACCCCUUCUUUGUGUGUGCAUGCAGACAGAACAAAUAAGCUCUCUGGUGUCUCUUCUUGCAAAGGUGCUAAUCCCAUCAUAAGGAUUCCACCAUCAUGACCUCAUCUAAGCUUAGUUACUUCCCAGAAGUCCCAUCUCCAAAUAUCACAUUGGGGGUUAGGGCUUCAACAUAAGAAUCAUGAAUUUGGGGUGGGGAGAGAGACACAGUUGAGUCCAUAGCAGGUGGGAAACAUGGACUUAAGGAUCAGAACUGCCUCUUGCUAGCAAAACCUUCCGAAGAGCAAGUAAGCUCACUUCCGUGAGCAGACAGAGGCUCCUGAAGUAACACAGGUGAAAGGUAAGCGGUCCUGAAUUGGGAUGAUGACAGUAAAAGAGGAGAUGGGUUUGAGAUGGAAUAUUCAUGGCUUGCGGACAAAGUGAAAAACGUUUAGCAUGACCACCCAGGUUGGAAGCCUGGUACCUGGGAGAAGGUUGGUGCCUGGCUGGAAAACCAGGAGAAAGAAGCAGUUUGGGCAGAAGGAGGAAAAGGACUUUGGCAACAUGCCCACCUUGGGAUCAUCUUGAGUUUGUGCGGGAAUGUUCUAACGUAAGGGAAAUAUAAAAAUGCCACUUAUAAGGAAGACUGCGGCCAGGUGUGAUAAUUUAUGCUUGUAAUCCCAACACUUUGGGAGGCCGAGGCAGGAAGAUCACUUGAUCCUAGGAGUUCGAGG